AAUAUACAAAUAAAUAUUGUGAAAAUCAGACAUGACCCGGUGCAGAAUCUAAAAUAAUGACACAUUAAUAAAUACUGUACUUCUGUCUCUCAUAGUCUUGUUUUUUUUAUGUAAAAUAUAAUAUUUACAUUUACGCUGCCUUCAAUUAAAAAUUUAAGAUUUUUAUGUGUUUUGCCCAUUUAUUUACAUGACGCUUCGGGGCCUAAAAAUGCAAACUUUAGAAAGUGGGUUUGGAAAUGCAUGUUUUUGAAAAUUACAGUUAUCUCUAUAGGUAUGUGCUCAGGCACAUAGUGUUUCGUUACAAAGUGCAACUACUGGCUUAGAUUACGUAAUAUAGAGUUUUUAGUCAGAAGUUUUCA